rnacentral:rRNA from 1 species
CGGGGGGGAUGCUAUACAUGCAAGUCGAGCGGACAGAUGGGAGCUUGCUCCCUGAUGUUAGCGGCGGACGGGUGAGUAACACGUGGGUAACCUGCCUGUAAGACUGGGAUAACUCCGGGAAACCGGGGCUAAUACCGGAUGGUUGUUUGAACCGCAUGGUUCAGACAUAAAAGGUGGCUUCGGCUACCACUUACAGAUGGACCCGCGGCGCAUUAGCUAGUUGGUGAGGUAACGGCUCACCAAGGCGACGAUGCGUAGCCGACCUGAGAGGGUGAUCGGCCACACUGGGACUGAGACACGGCCCAGACUCCUACGGGAGGCAGCAGUAGGGAAUCUUCCGCAAUGGACGAAAGUCUGACGGAGCAACGCCGCGUGAGUGAUGAAGGUUUUCGGAUCGUAAAGCUCUGUUGUUAGGGAAGAACAAGUGCCGUUCAAAUAGGGCGGCACCUUGACGGUACCUAACCAGAAAGCCACGGCUAACUACGUGCCAGCAGCCGCGGUAAUACGUAGGUGGCAAGCGUUGUCCGGAAUUAUUGGGCGUAAAGGGCUCGCAGGCGGUUUCUUAAGUCUGAUGUGAAAGCCCCCGGCUCAACCGGGGAGGGUCAUUGGAAACUGGGGAACUUGAGUGCAGAAGAGGAGAGUGGAAUUCCACGUGUAGCGGUGAAAUGCGUAGAGAUGUGGAGGAACACCAGUGGCGAAGGCGACUCUCUGGUCUGUAACUGACGCUGAGGAGCGAAAGCGUGGGGAGCGAACAGGAUUAGAUACCCUGGUAGUCCACGCCGUAAACGAUGAGUGCUAAGUGUUAGGGGGUUUCCGCCCCUUAGUGCUGCAGCUAACGCAUUAAGCACUCCGCCUGGGGAGUACGGUCGCAAGACUGAAACUCAAAGGAAUUGACGGGGGCCCGCACAAGCGGUGGAGCAUGUGGUUUAAUUCGAAGCAACGCGAAGACCUUACCAGGUCUUGACAUCCUCUGACAAUCCUAGAGAUAGGACGUCUC